GAUGAACGCUGGCGGCGUGCCUAAUACAUGCAAGUCGAGCGAAUGGAUUAAGAGCUUGCUCUUAUGAAGUUAGCGGCGGACGGGUGAGUAACACGUGGGUAACCUGCCCAUAAGACUGGGAUAACUCCGGGAAACCGGGGCUAAUACCGGAUAACAUUUUGAACCGCAUGGUUCGAAAUUGAAAGGCGGCUUCGGCUGUCACUUAUGGAUGGACCCGCGUCGCAUUAGCUAGUUGGUGAGGUAACGGCUCACCAAGGCAACGAUGCGUAGCCGACCUGGGAGGGUGCUCGGCCACACUGGGACGGGGACACGGCCCAGACUCCUACGGGAGGCAGCAGUAGGGAAUCUUCCGCAAUGGACGAAAGUCUGACGGAGCAACGCCGCGUGAGUGAUGAAGGCUUUCGGGUCGUAAAACUCUGUUGUUAGGGAAGAACAAGUGCUAGUUGAAUAAGCUGGCACCUUGACGGUACCUAACCAGAAAGCCACGGCUAACUACGUGCCAGCCGCCGCUGUAA
rnacentral:rRNA from 1 species